rnacentral:rRNA from 1 species
UACGAAGGGGGCUAGCGUUGCUCGGAAUUACUGGGCGUAAAGGGCGCGUAGGCGGUCAGCACAAGUCAGUUGUGAAAUCUCCGGGCUUAACUCGGAAAGGUCAACUGAUACUGUGCGACUAGAGUGCGGAAGAGGCAACUGGAAUUCUCGGUGUAGCGGUGAAAUGCGUAGAUAUCGGGAGGAACACCUGUGGCGAAGGCGGCUUUCUGGGCCUUACCUGACGCUGAGACGGCGAAAAGCGUGGGGAGCGAACCGG